rnacentral:lncRNA from 1 species
UUUUUUUUUGGCUGGUCGGACAGGUGAGGUGACAUACAUAGUGCGCCCCGCAAAUUCAUUUUUACAGAUAUACAUCACAAGGGAAAUUGUAGCUUAACAUCAGAGUUCUCCGGUUUAGCCAAGGCUUAGCUCCGGACCCCACUGGUACUUGUCUAAUUUGGCUUGUCACUCGGCCUUGAGUAGGAUCAUGGUCUUUCAUGUUUGCUAUUUCUUCAGCGUAUUUCAUAUCCAUUUCAUGAAACACAAUAAUUUCUGAACAAAAUUUAAAUUCAGUGCCCUCUUUUCCGCUACAGUGUGUCAGGCGAUCAGGGAUACAAUUAAUAGAUGCAUCACGAAACCGUUGGUAUCAAAUCAGCAAAAGGAAAGAAUCCAGUUGAGUGCAAAGAUGACAAUCUUAAUGGAGAAAUAACUUUACUACUAGUAGGUAGAUUAAUUAAUCACGAAACCUUCUUGUUCCGUAUCGAACACGAGUCACCUAGCUAAUUGCAUGCACAUAAUCUCAGGUUCUUGUUAGUGGAGUUCUAAGUUCAAACCCCUCAAUAUUUCCCUGGUGUGCAUGCUAAUAUCAGGUGCUAACACUUUUCGAUUGCAACACGCAAACUCUAUCAAGACUCGAGUGAGGAUGAUGUCGAAUCUACCUGAGAAUAGACCGUGUUUGCCACUGACAGCUUACUAAAAUCGAAGAACACUACGCAGUACGCACUGUCAUUUUGAUCUAAUCACCUGCGUCACGUUAGCAACUUAUCUCCUUAGCACCAGGAGUGCUUUAAUUUUUCCUUGUUUGUGCAUGAGAGCAACUCGUGUGCUGCUGUGUAUGGAUAUUUUUCUUGACCAUUCUAUAUUUCACGUAAAGCCUAAAUCAGCAAAAGAGGGUUAGCAACAGAGUAGAUAUUUUAGAGGGUCCCAGAUGAGGACUUGCAUGCAGAUAAGGGUCAGUCAAUGAGCAAGUAACAGGAAGGUGCCUAAAAAGUACAAGAGAUGGGUGUGGAAUAAUCCACAGAUUCCUUUGUUGAAAUUGCUCGAAAGUUCUUGAUUCCUGCGUUGGAAAGAAGUUUCUUCAAAGUGGAGAAAUUUAUCCAGCAUGACACUGAUGUUGGUUAAGCAUGUAAGUUUCUCUGCUGAAGCACCUGAAAGCACGAUCCUGCACUCUUCAGGAAGCUCGAUGUCUUUUCAGGCUCUAGUUUAAAUUUAAAUUUUUUAAUCCCAACCAGAAAAAAGAAGAUGCUCCUCAUACAACUGAAUCAUCAAAUACGUCUUGGAAAAUAUAUAGUAGUAUGUAUGUCUCCUUACAAAAAUUACAAGUGCAAGAUUAUAUGCUUGCGAGAAGAAGUACUAUAUAGUCUUACAAGUGCAAGAUAUAUCAUCACAGAGGCUGAAACAGCAGGAGCCACAUCCUCAUGAGAGUCUUUUGGCAGCUCUGUGUCUUAGUAAAAAUGGAGAGAAAAGGCAGAUGAUCAAUACUUCUACCGUCAUGUGAUAUGUACGUAUAUCAUUAGUCAAGGUGGUCAUGAAUUCACAAUUGCAGAUGAUUCUGUAAUAUUGUUUUCACUUUAUUUUUCUAGAAAAAGAAAUUGUUAUCCGACAAUAUGCUUCUUAUUAUACAGUUCCACGUUGCUCCAACACCAAAUGAGAGCAAAGGUAUCGUUGGUCAUUCGUUCUGAGAAGCAUCAGGUACGUUCUAGACUCCGAAAUGCAAGACUUGGACUCGCAACAGUUAGCCUACCUCUCCUAAAUUAAACUAGGAAAACACUAAGAAAAAUAUAGACACAUAGUGAAUUAUAGCAUGAGCAUGCAGUAGGGGUUUUAAUUUUGUAGGAAGAUAUAUGCCCUUUUCUAAGAAGAUAUGCUAGUGGCACUUUAAAAAGCUAGAGCUCUGAUCUUCGACAGAUCGGCUUUAAGAAUGCUUGGUGGUCGUUGUAUCUGUGGCAGAAGAAUAUUACUAGCUGUCCAUGGUUGAUUCUUCCUAGGAAAUUACUAGCGUUUGUUGGAUGGUCUGAUAUGAUCACGGCUCUGCACGAUUUAUUCCUGAAUCUCUAAUAUUAUACAAGAAAAAGGAAAAUUCCAAAAGUGAGUCAAGUCAUGGUGAUAAUAUUAUUAUAUUUCAAUUAGUUUUUAGAACUGAAAUAUAGUUACUGCUCCUACAUUGGCAAUCUACUAGACUAUCAACAUAGGAAAAUAGAGUGUGUAUUGUAUACUUUCGAAGGUUGGAAGCAUGAUUAUGGGUGUCCGUAUCAUGCUUUAGAAUAAAAGAGUAAGUGAAGAAAAACCAUACGUUCCAAAGUGUUUAUUCCAUGAACUUUGGAGAUAGCAAAUGGCAGUGGCUAAGAGUUGCACAAAUUUUAUAACAAGAACCUCACACAACCAUACACUCCUUAUAGAAACACACGCGCCCGCGAACACACACGUACAGCCGUACAGCUGGAGGGCCCGGGUUUGCACUAUUUUCCCGACACACACAUACAUAUAGCCGUAGGUAGUAUGGGCUUUUGCCUGACGAAGCUCAUGUUUCUUGAGAGGGCUAGUCAUUGGUUAGUUGUGCACGAUAGGAACCGAGACAAAGCUAUCAGGCUUUUCAUCCACAUCCCCCACCCGAACAACGUUGACGGUCAGGCUCCGGGUCACCUUGGCCGUUGCCGUUUGCGACGGCUUGGUGGCGACGUUGUAGGCCUCAAUCCUCUCCACUUUCUUCACCCUCACCACGCCUUCGACUGGAAGCUCGUUGCUCAUGCCCACGCUCGCCCUAUUGUCCCCGCGGAACAUUUUCCUUAAUUUCUUCUUUGGAUGGAAGCAAUUCAACUUAGCUAAUUCCUGCUAGAUCGAUUGAUGUGUUUCCUUUGAGCUUGGUGUGGUCUCCAUUUAUAGGCUGCUAGCUAGCUGGAGGCGUGUUAUGGAGGGACUCUGCAGAGAUAUGAUACUGCUGAUGUGCAGUGAUCAAGAGCAAUCAGUCACAAAUUAAAGCUGCAGUGCUAUCAGUUCUUGCUACUUUUUUGGAUGCACAAACAUGAUGCUGUCCGAAAUAUGUUAGGU